UCCCACACAGUGAAUGAAGACCUUUCAUAUGAAGCAGAAGCUAGGAUAUCUUCCAUCCGGACUCCAUGUAAGGGCGCUAACAUGUUCAUCAUUUUGACUACGAAGAAAAUCGACUAGGAGAUACCGAAUUCCAGAGCCUCUAGAUAAACUUCCUACAAAGGAAAUAGUGCCAGAUCUAGCAGAUGCGGCAUUUCCAGGAUAUGAAGCAGACCAC
rnacentral:lncRNA from 1 species